ACAAAUUUUAAAAACUAAAAAAAUAGUAUCUGUUCUUAUCAGUUUAGUAUCUGAUACAUCCUUUAUCUGAGGACAUAUACAUUAAAUGGAUUUUUGGAGCAGGGAGGUGGAGUAGGAGCUUGCUCCAUCCACUCCACCCAUUGACCUGGUAUUGCAGUACUUCCAGGAACAGUACACCCCUU
ensembl:snRNA U2 U2 spliceosomal RNA